CCUCUGGACCCCCUGCAACUCAUCUGUCUCUCCCCUCUUCCCUCCAGGGGCUCCUCUUGCUGGCCUCAGCACCCUCCAAGAUGCAGCACUGCCCAGCACUGUAGGUGCUUCAUAAAAAUUUGUGGAAUGAAUGAAAUGAAGGCGGGGAGGAGAGAGAGGAGAAGGGAGCAGAGAUCCUUGCCCAAUGGACGUAAAUAAACUCAGGGGAAGAAUGAAGCCUGGCUGUGAAUCCAGAGGGAGCAUCGGCACAGGCAGACUCCAUCUGGAAAGAAUUGAGAAGAGCCUGGGUUGUCCCCUGUUCCCAUCCUGUCUUCCGCCUGAGCCCCUGCAGGGAGCCCCUCUGCCCCACCCCACUCUCCCUCCCAAUAAAGCAGACUCUCAGGAGAGACAUCGGACUUCACUCCGACUGGGAAAAAUGGAGGAACUCAUCUCUUAA
rnacentral:lncRNA from 1 species